UCUUGUCAAUGACAUGUGUUCAAGUAUUCUUAAAGGUGCCAGAGACAGUGACGGUGUUACGUUAUUUUACAUGCCAAACCCCUUCUUCUUUUGACCUGUGUGGGGGCUUGUCAGGGCCGUACGUGUGUUUAAGUGUUCUUAUAGGUGCCAGAGACCGUGAUUGCUUACCUGGUGUUACGUUAUUAUUGUGUUACUCUUUAGCUGUCAUUGUGUUACAUAUGUACCGUAUUGUGUGUGUUGAGGUGAAAGUCAUAAGCUGCGGCAUUGUCCAGGAUAAUCACAAACUCCUAUUGAUUCAGUUUGCAGAAAAUGUAAACCUUUAUAUGACUAACAUCAGACUUUCUUUCAGGUCAACAAGACAGCAGGUGUAGGCGGUGUAGGUCAGGAGGAGACGACAUAGCACCAUCACAUGCCUGCCUAAGGCCAGAAAGAUGUCCAGGACAGGGAGGAGGAGGAAGAAGACUGCAGGAGGCUGUGGAAAGGCUUGACACAGCACCUUCACGCGCCUGGCUAAGGCCAGCAAGACGUCCUGGUCAGGGAGGAGGAGGAAGAAGACUGCUUCAUUAAAUACGAUUAUGCCUAGAGGUGUAAUAGGGCUGUUGGACGUGAAUUUUUUAGCAUGAAGUUAGCUGUGCCAUCAUCCAGAUAAUCUUUAAGUUUGCAGAAAAUGUAAACCUUUAUAUCUAGCUAACAACAGACUCUUUCUGGCCAGCAAGAUGUGCAGGGCAGGGAGGAGGAGGAAGAGCACUGCAGGAGGUUGUGGAGAGGCGGUGUGGGUGGGCGCAGGAGACUUGACACGGCACCAUCACACACCUGGCUAAGGUAUAUGGUGAUUGAUUUCUUUCCUUGCAUUCAAAACUUCACUAUUUACGAUCAUGGGUAGAGGUCUGUUGGAUGCGAAUUUAUUAUUAUUAUAUUAUUUUUUAUUUAAUUUUGUUUAUUUAUUUAUUUAUUUAUUUAUUUUUACAACAAAGGAGAUGGCUCAAGGGCAACAAAAAGGGUGUAGAAAAAAAAAACGCUACUCACCGCUCCCACGACAGACAGAAGUAGAGUGUCCAAAAGAGAGGUUUAGCUUGAAGUCAUAACCUGCGUCAUUUUCCAGGAUAAUCACAAACUCUUGCAGGCUCAGUUUACAGAAAAUGGAAACCUUCAUCUGACUAACACCAGACUUUCUUCCAGGCUGGGGCAGUAAAGGGAAGAAAGAAGAGAAGGUGUCACAUAUAUAUGGGUUACAGGUGACACUGGAGGAGGUGACUUGUUUCGUCUGUCCGGGAGAUCUGAUGUGAAACGUACUGGAGAUGUUGUUUAAGUGUAACAGGCCUGGAAAAAUAUUUAAGUGGAACAUGUGUGCAAAAAUAUUUAAGUCUGAUGUGCUGGGUAAUAUAUUUAAGUGUGACAUGCUGGGUACUAUAUUUAAGUGUGGCGUGCUGGGUACUAUAUUUAAGUGUGACGUCCUGGGUAAUAUAUUUAAGUAUGAUGUGCUGGGUAGUAUAUUUAAGUGUGAUGUACUGGGUAAUAUAUUUAAGUGUGACGUACUGGGUAGUAUAUAUAAGUGUGACGUACUGGGUAUUAUAUUUAAGUGUGACGUGCUGGGUAGUAUAUUUAAGUGUGAUGUGCAGGGUAA